UACGUAGGGUGCAAGCGUUAAUCGGAAUUACUGGGCGUAAAGCGUGCGCAGGCGGCUUUGCAAGACAGAUGUGAAAUCCCCGGGCUUAACCUGGGAACUGCAUUUGUGACUGCAUGGCUGGAGUGCGGCAGAGGGGGAUGGAAUUCCGCGUGUAGCAGUGAAAUGUGUAGAGAUGCGGAGGAACACCGAUGGCGAAGGCAGCCCCCUGGGCCAACACUGACGCUCAGGCACGAAAGCGUGGGGAGCAAACAGG
rnacentral:rRNA from 1 species